ACAACAAGAAGCUGGUUUAUUUUUGACUGGAACGCUAACGCUAACCAGAAACUAGCAGGCUUGCAUUAACGCAGAAUGACAAAUCUAGAAAUCAAGACUUUAUUAGUUGCAGUUGCCAUUCAUGGAGUCGUGGGUCAGAUCAAACUGGAGCAGUCGCCCUCUGUGGUGAAAAAGCCCGGAGAAGCAACAAAGAUAUCCUGCUCUGUGAAUGGAUUUGACAAAGCUAACGAGUUUGUUCACUGGACACGGCAAAAGACAGGGAGAGCUCUCGAGUGGAUCGGAAGACAGUCUCUGUCACAGCAAGAAUAUUCUUCAUCCUUUCAAAGUCGUUUUACUCUCUCAUAUGACGCGUCCCGCAGCUCUGCACACCUCAGCAUCAGGAGUCUGACAGAGGCAGACUCUGCCGUGUACUUCUGUGCUCAUACAGCACAGUGGCUCAAAACGCCACAACACCAGUGUAAAAACCUCCCAGAGAAAAACAAGGGAUGAAAUCACAGCUAAAGCAUAUUCUCAUUCAUAUUUAAUGUAGUGUACAAAAAGAAUCAGGUCAACAUUAAGAUAAAGAUCCAAUUAAUAUUGUUUGUGAAAGUGUGAAAAUGUCAGAAAAACAACUGUGGCUGAUAUAUAUAUAGAAAAAACAAUUGUUGAUUAAUUGUGAUUCCCUUCGCAAUUAAAAAUUUGGCUUCUGUGUUAAAUUGUCAGAAUUCACAAUGAACUUAAUCUCUUCCUGUUUGCACAUCUGGAGUUGUUUUCUGGCUUUCAAGGAUGACAGAGUGCAACAGGUGCAUCACCAGCUGGAUGGCUUGAUAAUUUCCUUUUUUCAUUUCUACACAGCACUGUACCCAACCCUAAUCCUUAGUUUCUUUCUCAGGAUUAUUCUAAUAAAAGUUUCAAACUGAAUAAAGUUUUUAACUAACUCUAGAUUUGGAUUAGAUUUCGCUACGGAGACAAUAAAUACAUUAAAAAAGAAUUUAAUUUGAAUUUAAUUUGUCUCUGGCAGGAAAAUAUUCAUCCUGUUGUUUUAAUAUUUCUCCCAGCAAAAUCUGGGCCUAAUCUGAUACCUUAUUUCCUGCAGGACAUACCUCAAAACAGCUAGUUUUCUCUCUCCACAAAAGCAGAAAAAAUCUCUACCAUUCUAGAACAAGAUUCUGCAUAUCUUAAUGUAAAUUUGAUCUGGUGGUUUUUGUAUGGCGGUUUAUCACUGUGGUGGGCCGGAGGCUAUGCCACUAAGAAAUAUGGCAAUACAAAAAGCUACCAAAAGAAAGAGGUCAAAGCACAACAGAAGAAAUCCUAAUUUUUUCAAAAUAAAAUUAAAGAUAAGCUUGUUGCUUUUUACUAUAUGUGUUGAAGGAAAAGAAAACUUCUGUUUAGCUCAUAAAAAUCAUAAAAAGCAUGUUUGUGUGUAGAUGCAAAAGUUGCUCUCUCUGUCGUUCCUGCACAUAAUCAAAAGUGUUGAAGUUUAAUUGAAUUACACAAAUUCAAAGACUCACUGGGAUAUCAUGCUGAUGUUAGAAUAUACCUGCUCUGUAUUUUCUUUACCUGCAUUUUAACAUAUAGCAUGUUUUAAUGUGCUUGGUGUUUUUGUUCAGACAGUGAAUGAGAUGGCAGCACUGUGAUGCCUUAGAUUAUUGGGGUGAAGGGACCAGAGUCACAGUGACUUCAGAACCACCUGUACCUCCGGUUCUGGUCCCGAUGGUUUGGUUCAGUCCUACAUCUGGAGAUAAAGUCACCCUCAGCUGCCUGGCUCUUGACUUCUACCCACAGAGUCUCUCUUUUGAGUGGAGCGAUGCGAGUGGGGCACCGCUGGAUUCUGUACGUUAUCCUGCAGUAGAAACAAACAACAGAUUUACAGAAGUCAGUUUGGUUCAAAUGUCCAGAUCUGAAGCAAAUCUGAAGUCUUAUCAAUGUUCAGUGACUCAUCCUGGCGGCACCAAGACUGUGAGUGCAAAAUGGGCCUCCUGUACCCCAAAACUGACUUUACUCUCGGUGACAACUGGAGACGGUCAGACACUAGUGUGCGUCAUUGAGGAUUUUUCUUCUGAAAAUCUGUCAGUCAAAUGGAAAAAGAAUAGCAAUGAGCUGUCUGGACACAAUGAAUGGCCUCCCAAAAAACUCGGAGACUUGUAUUCAGCCGCCAGCGUCCUAAAAUUGAAGAGCUCUGACUGGGACAGUGAAGCUGUUUACUCCUGUGAAGUGACUCACCUUGGAAAAACUUACACAAAGAAAGUUUCAAAAGCUCCUAUCACAGUGACACUGAAACCUCCGAGUCCUAAAAAAAUGUUCAGCAACAACCAGGCAGAGUUGGAGUGUGUCGUCUCUGGACAGGACAACGACAUUGUGUCAGGGACUGAAAUCACCUGGGAGAUUAAUGGAGAACUUAUGAGAAGUAAGACUAAGGAAGCAACAAUGUUUGAAGGCAGUCAGUACAGUAAACACAGCAUCAUCACUUUUAAUUCCUCCGACUGGAGGACAGUGAGCAAAGUGAGAUGUUCUGCUGUAGCAGAAGACGUGGGACCAGUUAUUCAAGACCUGACUGUCAACAGUGGAGACGGCACAGAGCCAAAGGUAACAGUCCACGUGCUUCCAGAGAAGGAUAUUGGCCAAGAAGCAUCAGCUGAGGUCACUCUGGUGUGUUUGGUUUCCAGUGAUGUGCUUCAGGAUUACUAUAUUGCCUGGACUGAACAUGUUGGACAAAGUAGCUCAGUGUAUUCUGACGGCAUCGACUUUCCUCCAAGAAAGACCAAAAAUGGCUACUCAGUUGUAAGUGUUUACACCACCAGCAAGGAGAAGUGGAGCGGAGGCUACGUCUUCUAUUGCAACGUGUGGCCUGCCGGCCGUGGGAAUCGCAUGAAACCCAGUGGAGUAUCUGGGGCUUUGGAUUUCUCCAGUCUGACAUUUACUCCGAACAGCAGAGAUAAAGGUGGUGAUGAAGAUGAAUACAGCAGCCUUUGGUUCACGGCCUCGUCUUUCUUAUUCCUCUUCAUAUUCAGUCUGUCAUACAGCUUAAUGCUCUCCCUGCACAAGAUGACACAAGAGCAGAGGAAUGUGCGACAAACACAAUAAUCUUUUCUUUCCUAUAUGAAUGGAUGAACCAUCACAAAGCUGUGGAUUUCCAAUCAGAUCUGUUUAUGCUUUUUAACAUAUAUUCUUCAAAAAUAUAACAGUCAUCUGCUUUCUUAGCAAUCUGUGACAUAAGUUUCCAUAUAUUGUUAAACAAUGCUUUCUUUUUUUUAGAGCUAGAGAUAACAACGUACAGCAAGAAUCACUGCUAUAACAUCUUUUGUAGUUUUUUUUACUUUUAUGUGUGUUGAAAACAUUAAAUAUGUAAAUACAAACAAGAACUUUUGAGGUUUUCUUUUAACCAGAUCAGAGAAGACAUCUGUUUUUUCAGACACCAACCCUGGAAGCCAUUAUAGCGUGACCGGCCGUUAUCAGUUAAGUCUUGUAGGUUUCCAGUUUCCCUUUAAAGAGUCGAUUCCUCUUUCUCUGUGUACCUCUGGGAAAACACCUGCAGCUGUGAAACUUUGUGAAAACCACCAGAAAUAUAAAUAAACCUUUCAGACAGCAGAAA